CAUAUAUAUUAAAAAAAAUUCUUUUCCAUUAUAGUUUAUUACAAGAUAGUGAAUACUGUUCCCUGGGCUGUAUGAUCAUUUUUUAAAGAUAUGACAAAAAAGCCAAGUUUUUACCAAUUAUUUCAGACAACUCAAAACUGUUGAAAGGGAAACGUGGGCGUCACCCCCGAUGCCCUCUCCAAGAUUCUUUUCCCUUAUAGUUUAUUACUGAAUAUUGUGCAUAGUUCCUGAUGUCUUCUUAUUCAUGCCUCGCGUUGUUAUUUCGAUGGUUUGGUUUUCCACAGUCUCUCUGUCCAUGGUCAUUCUGAGGGUGCGGCUGGUGGUGGAAGAUGGUAUCCUUUCCAAACCCUUUGGUGGCCUCAGAGUUAACUUAGAGCUUCUGACUGGGCACAUGGCAGUGCGUUUAGACACAGUCCUCUUGCUGAGAUGUGUUCCAGGAGCAGCGCCCCUACAUCCGGACCUACAAUUCAAACUCCAGCUCCUGCUUCCAGUCUCCUCCAGUCCCCACUCCUCUGGGUGAGCAGAAACCCCCCUGAGGGCUCUCUCCCCUCCUGUGGACACCAGACUGUGACCUUCUUGGAAGACAGUGGUGCAGUGCCAAGUUCAAGUCCUGGGUUCAAAUCCUGGCUCUGCUAUUGACUAGCUGGGUCUCCAUGAUAAAAACAUGGCAGGGACUGUGAUGGUUCUAAUGAGGCAGUCGCUAGGAGACUGUUCUGCCAGUUCCUUCCCACCUUCCCCACCCCUCAAAUAAUAGCAACUAGCAAGAAACUACAGGAAUCUAACAGACCCUUAAUCCACUAACCCCUUCUGCAGACAAUGCAAAGGAACAGGCAGUGCAGCAUCGUGGGUAGGACCUCUGGCUCCAGAGAGGGGCUGCCUGCAUCCAGUUCCAGCCCCCCCACCCCCUACAAGCUGUUCUUCCUUAGCCUCAGUUUUCCCCUUGCCUUGUAGAUAGGGUUGUGUUAUUAAAUGAGGGACCAUACGUGAAGUGUUUGGCACGGUGCCUGGCACGUUGUAAGUGCUCAAUAAAUGUUAACCAUUGCUAUUUU